CUGCUAGCUUAGUUUGGGUUAAUUGUUGAACCAAACACAGAAAGGACACAUGGAAAUGAAUUUGCUUAGGCAUUAAUCAUACAAACACAUUUAUUUUUCAAUGUGGCAUCUUCUGUUCUCUAUCAGAGCAUGUGAGUGGAAUUGAGUGCCAAAAAACACUCCUCUGGGAAAAAAAACUGCAAAUCUAAAUUCGCUCCAUUCAUUAAAAUCACAAAAACACAUCUAUUUUUAGUGACUACCUGGACCUACCAUUUGGUUUUGACAUAUCAAAGCCAAACCAUAUGAUUGGAAUGAAAAGUAUUUUAGUAAACAACAUGAAAAGGUGACUGUAAGAAGCGCUCAUCAUUUCAAAUAGGCCACAUGUCAUAUUAAACAGCAUAUAACCACUCUAAAUAGGCCACAUGUCAUAUUAAACAGCAUAUAACCACUCUAAAUAGGCCACAUGUCAUAUUAAACUGCAUAUAACCACUCUAAAUAGGUCACAUGUCAUAUUAAACAGCAUAUAACCACUCUAAAUAGGCCACAUGUCAUAUUAAACAGCAUAUAACCACUCUAAAUAGGCCACAUGUCAUAUUAAACAGCAUAUAACCACUCUAAAUAGGCCACAUGUCAUAUUAAACUGCAUAUAACCACUCUAAAUAGGCCACAUGUCAUAUUAAACAGCAUAUAACCACUCUAAAUAGGCCACAUGUCAUAUUAAACAGCAUAUAACCACUCUAAAUAGGCCACAUGUCAUAUUAAACAGCAUAUAACCACUCUAAAUAG
ensembl:lncRNA